GACGAACGCUGGCGGCGUGCUUAACACAUGCAAGUCGAACGAUGAAGCCUAGCUUGCUAGGUGGAUUAGUGGCGAACGGGUGAGUAAUACGUGAGUAACCUACCUUUAACUCUGGGAUAAGCCUGGGAAACUGGGUCUAAUACCGGAUACGACCAAUCUCCGCAUGGGGUGUUGGUGGAAAGCGUUAUGUAGUGGUUAUAGAUGGGCUCACGGCCUAUCAGCUUGUUGGUGAGGUAACGGCUCACCAAGGCGACGACGGGUAGCCGGCCUGAGAGGGUGACCGGCCACACUGGGACUGAGACACGGCCCAGACUCCUACGGGAGGCAGCAGUGGGGAAUAUUGCACAAUGGGCGCAAGCCUGAUGCAGCGACGCCGCGUGAGGGAUGACGGCCUUCGGGUUGUAAACCUCUGUUAGCAGGGAAGAAGAGAGAUUGACGGUACCUGCAGAGAAAGCGCCGGCUAACUACGUGCCAGCAGCCGCGGUAAUACGUAGGGCGCGAGCGUUGUCCGGAAUUAUUGGGCGUAAAGAGCUUGUAGGCGGUUUGUCGCGUCUGCUGUGAAGGCCGGGGCUUAACUCCGUGUAUUGCAGUGGGUACGGGCAGACUAGAGUGCAGUAGGGGAGACUGGAAUUCCUGGUGUAGCGGUGGAAUGCGCAGAUAUCAGGAGGAACACCGAUGGCGAAGGCAGGUCUCUGGGCUGUAACUGACGCUGAGAAGCGAAAGCAUGGGGAGCGAACAGGAUUAGAUACCCUGGUAGUCCAUGCCGUAAACGUUGGGCACUAGGUGUGGGGGACAUUCCACGUUUUCCGCGCCGUAGCUAACGCAUUAAGUGCCCCGCCUGGGGAGUACGGCCGCAAGGCUAAAACUCAAAGAAAUUGACGGGGGCCCGCACAAGCGGCGGAGCAUGCGGAUUAAUUCGAUGCAACGCGAAGAACCUUACCAAGGCUUGACAUAUACUGGACCGCAUCAGAGAUGGUGUUUCCCUUCGGGGCUGGUAUACAGGUGGUGCAUGGUUGUCGUCAGCUCGUGUCGUGAGAUGUUGGGUUAAGUCCCGCAACGAGCGCAACCCUCGUUCUAUGUUGCCAGCACGUUAUGGUGGGGACUCAUAGGAGACUGCCGGGGUCAACUCGGAGGAAGGUGGGGAUGACGUCAAAUCAUCAUGCCCCUUAUGUCUUGGGCUUCACGCAUGCUACAAUGGCCGGUACAGAGGGUUGCGAUACUGCGAGGUGGAGCUAAUCCCUAAAAGCCGGUCUCAGUUCGGAUUGGGGUCUGCAACUCGACCCCAUGAAGUCGGAGUCGCUAGUAAUCGCAGAUCAGCAACGCUGCGGUGAAUACGUUCCCGGGCCU
rnacentral:rRNA from 1 species